UUCGCAAUGCCCGAAAGGGUGACGAAGCGACGCCGCGUGUGGGAAGAAGGCCUUCGGGUUGUAAACCACUGUCGGGAGUUAAGAAAUGUAAGGGUGUUAAUAGCAUUCUUACCUGACGUUAGCUCCGGAGGAAGCCACGGCUAACUCUGUGCCAGCAGCCGCGGUAAUACAGAGGUGGCAAGCGUUGUUCGGAAUUAUUGGGCGUAAAGAGCACGUAGGCGGCCCUGCAAGUCAGCUGUGAAAUCCUUCUGCUCAACGGAAGAACGGCAGUUGAUACUACAGGGCUCGAGUGCGGGAGGGGAGAGUGGAACUUCUGGUGGAGCGGUGAAAUGCGUAGAUAUCAGAAGGAACAUCGGCGGCGAAAGCGACUCUCUGGCCCGUAACUGACGCUGAGGUGCGAAAGCUAGGGGAGCAAACGGGAUUAGAUACCCCGGUAGUCCUAGCCGUAAACGAUGGGCACUAAGUAGAGGGGUU
rnacentral:rRNA from 1 species